UACGGGGGGAGCAAGCGUUGUUCGGAUUUACUGGGCGUAAAGGGCGCGUAGGCGGCCAGCACAGGUCAGUUGUGAAAUCUCCGAGCUUAACUCGGAAAGGUCAACUGAUACUGUGCGGCUAGAGUGCGGAAGGGGCAACUGGAAUUCUUGGUGUAGCGGUGAAAUGCGUAGAUAUCAAGAGGAACACCCGCGGCGAAGGCGGGUUGCUGGGCCGACACUGACGCUGAGGCGCGAAAGCCAGGGGAGCGAACGGG
rnacentral:rRNA from 1 species